rnacentral:sRNA from 1 species
AUGAACGGUCGUGUUUGCGGAGAAAAGUAAAUUUAAACAACCUAAAGAAACACUCGUAGAGAGUUUGCCCCAUUAGCUUCGUGUAGACGUGCUAAGUUAUAAAUUAAACAAAAAUCGUCUGAUUUGCUACAGUCCAAUUAAAGUCUUCCUAAUAAAUUUGUGCGAGUGAAUUAAAAAGUUGUACGUGACUCCGUUUUUCCCUCUCGCACUUUAUGUGCGUUUGUAUGUGUGACUCUGCGUAACUGUGCCUGUGUGCGUGUAUGAGUGCCUGUGGGUGCAUUUGUUUAUUCCUACCGCUAAAUACGGUUUCUUACUAGAACUUGCCACGCGCUGCGUUGCUGGGCGGUGCUGUCAUUACCCCACCCACCCCUCAUUAGCACAUUGUGCAAAAAAAAAAAAAACAGAAAGAAAAUCGAAACUCCCGCACUUUAACUGGAUAAUGAGUAGUCGGAACAACGUCAAAACGAAAACAAAAACAACGGUACACAAAGGAAACUGAAUUAAAGCAUAGCAAGAGAAUGCGAUUAAUGCUUGACACGAAUAUUUAUUCAAAAUAGAUCAAAAACUUGUAUAUAUGUAUGAGUGUGUGUAUGUUUUUGUACUUUUACAUAACGAACGCGUCGCAUAACAUUGAAGCUAACUGUUUACCAAAUUGUUGAGCAAUUUGUAUACGAACAAUAAAUGAAAUAAAAGAAAUCACGACGAGCUAAAUCCAAUUUGAGCUUAAACUUAACUGUAAACAUUUUGUGCACUUUGUUUGGACGUUUUGCGCCCACUGUUCCGAGCUGUAAACAUAUUCAAGAGUAAAAUAUAUAAAAGUGCUUUAAAUUGGUUUAUAAAAAGACUGGAUGUUUAAAAAUAAGAAAAGAAAUCGCUGUAACUCGACCUAAAAUGUAAACUGUUUAAGUUUACAAAUGGUACAAUAACAAUAAAAUCAACAACAACAACUACUACAAUGGUUGUAAUUUAGCUAAUAAGCAAUUCACGGACUCGACAAACGAAUUGAACUUGAUUUGAAAACAGCAUUGUCUGUGGCAUCAGCUGCUAAUCGACUACAACAACAAACAUAAAUCAUCAUCAACGGACAACAAACACCCUACAACAGCAGCUGGAAUAGUGUGAGCUGGUAGCUAUUGUGAUUGAGCUGCAAACAAGCGAACGCAUUAAUCAUACGCCGUGUGCGCCAUUUUUGAAGCAGCCCAGUGAGAAGUGUCCUAAAACGAAAUAUGUUUGCGAAAAAGCCGCACAAUGCGCCGCGCACUUGACACGCGUUGAGUUACCGUUAGCCGAGUACAACAGUACAAUACAGUUACGCGUUGUCCAAUUCUCAAUCGAUCGAAUUGCUCCAACUUUAUCUCAAUAAUUUAUUUUGAUUUUCUUUCCGUUCGUUUCGUUCGCUUUGUUUUCUUCAUUCGAUUGAUUUGUGCAUUCGAAGUGCCGCAUGUACGUGUCCGGGCUAAAAACGUUUACGGGCAGCUACAACUGCAACAACAACAGCAACAACAACAAUAUCAAUUAUAAACAGAGAGGCAGCCAAUUUGAUUUGCGGCCAAAAUUUGCUCAAUUAGUGUUUUCCUGUUGGUCAGUGUUAAAAACGUUAACGUUCUUGAUGAAUGUGUUUCGGUUAAAGCCGCUUUAUCGUGCCACUAAAAAGACAACAACAACAACAGCAACACCAAUAUUAACAUCAGCAGUCGUAACACCAACAACAACAACAACAGCCCAAACUAAAAAGCCAAAGAGCAGCAGCAACAAAAACUCUGCCUCCUCCUCCUCCUCCGCUUCUUCAACAACUAGAACAACUUUUGAUAAUAGCAACAACAACAAUCCGCGCACAUACAACAACAGCAGCAAAUCGAAUAAAGUGUUUCUACAUUAUAUACCACGCGAUCCGCGUCUAAGAAUUUUCAAUAGAACCGCCACGCUGUAUAAACACUUGGCCCAACCCAAACGCACUUUAAGUGAAUUGAAUAUAACUGAAGAUCUGUGUAAUUAUGGUGAAUUAAUUGGCGGCCCUGGUAGUGCAAGUGACAACAACAACAACUAUAACAAUUACAAUCAGCAACAAUAUUAUUAUAGCAACAACAAUAAUCAACAGUUGAAAUUUCAAGGCUAACUAUUCAAGUUUCCAAACAAUAAAUAAAUAAAUAAAACAAAAAGAAAGCGAAAGGAAAAGAAAUUUUCGAGUGCACAGAAAAUUUUUCGAUUCAUUCUUGGAAAAACUUGAGACGCGCCGAGUUUGCUUAGGCAAACAUACAGUGUGAGGAGUUGAAGAGAGUUGAUAUUUUGGAAUUGGGGAUUCAGGCGAAGCGUAAGCAAUACAAAUCCAAAUCCAAAACCACCUACAGCUACAGCUACUUAAUAAAUAAUAUAGAAAUUCUUGCUGAAAUCUAUGUAACGGUGUUCACAAUUAAUUGCAACAACAAGUGCAAAUUUUUACGAGCUGCUUUUAAACAACCAAAUUAUAGUAAAUAUAAUAAAACGAAAUAUUGCAAGUGAGAGGUUAUUCAAUUAGAGCCCAAGACAAGAUGGCCAAGCCAUCAGCAACACGGAGUGACAGCAGCAACAACUGCAAGAAUCAACGCAGUGGCAACGGCAG